AUUUAGAGUAAGUUUGAUUCUUUGUAUUAAGGCAUCUUUUCUUUUGAUAGUAUUUUGUUAAAUUAUUGUUGUUGUAUUAUUGAGAUUAAUAGAAUUUUUGUAAUGUUAACUCUUGCGAUUGUGACUUAAUAAAGCCAUUUCUUUGAAGUUAAUAGUUCGUUUCAGUUGAAUAUUUUAAUAAGAUAUGUCUUAAUUUAGUAUAUCCAGUACUAGCAGUUUAGUUACAAGUGUUAUUUACGAACUCUGGACAUAAAGUUACUCAUCUGUUAGGUUAUUGCAAGUUCUGGAUAAAGGUAACUUUGCAAUUUGUGCCUGAACAGGGACUCAAACCCUGGACUGUGAGGUGCAGGAUUUGAGUCCCAACUUGCAAUAAUCUAAUGGACAGUCAGUGGAGUCAACAGCAGCAAGGAAGUUGCUAUUGAUUCCACUGAUGUUGAGAAACAUAAAAUGAGGUGGAUGGCAGUCUGGUUACAUCAAGUGCCACAAGCUUUCCUUGGAAAUCCAGCUAUCAUCAAAAAGUACACCACCCCAACUUAUAAGUUGGUGAAAUCACUAACUGAGUUUGUAAAAGCCAAGAAUGGUGAAUAUUUGCUGUUUUCAAUUCUUGUAUUUAUCAUCAUAUUACUAUUUGGAAGUACAUACAACUAUAUUAUACUGAAGUUCUUUUAGAGAAUACUACUAAACGAAGGAGUUUCGGCGCUUGCUGCGGUUGGGGGAGCU
rnacentral:lncRNA from 1 species